rnacentral:rRNA from 1 species
AUACGGAGGUUGCAAGCGUUAAUCGGAAUUACUGGGCGUAAAGCGCGCGUAGGCGGAUAUUUAAGUCUCAUGUGAAAGCCCUGGGCUCAACCUGGGAACUGCAUGGGAUACUGGGUAUCUAGAAUACAGUAGAGGGUAGUGGAAUUUCAGGUGUAGCGGUGAAAUGCGUAGAGAUCUGAAGGAACAUCAGUGGCGAAGGCGACUACCUGGACUGAUAUUGACGCUGAGGUGCGAAAGCGUGGGGAGCAAACGGGAUUAGAUACCCUAGUAGUCC